GGCUGCCCACCAACGCCGACCGCCACCUACCAAGAUUACCCACCCCAACGAUGAACCACCAUCACCGGCUCUCUCCACCAUGGUACAUCUCUCUCUCCAUCACCACUGAAUUUUCCCCCAAAGCCCUCUCUCUUCGCUGAUUACUUGCCUGAUCUCACUGAUCAUGAGGAGCUGUUUGAAACCAUCUCCUAAGCACUUAUAUCGUUAGUUGACCGUGAUUGCUUAAGUGGUUGGGGAGGACAUGUCUACAUUGUUUGGUUUUCAAACACAACUGGAUAAAGAAUGGGAGGCUUGACAAGAUUUGGAAAACCAAAUGUGAAGAAAGAAUGUGAAGAAAGAAAGCUACGUGAGCGGGCUGAAAGAGAUUAAGGGAAGCAACGAAUGCAAAAACAAUUGAAAGGUGUUAUGAGAAAAUUAGAUUGUCCGUGUAGUUAAAGGUAGUUUUUUUGUGUACUAUUUAGAUCAAUAUGUUAAAAAUUGUUAGUUUUGUAAUAUGUGAUAACUUGAGUUUAUGUUAUUGUAUCUUUGGUUAAUUCGUAAACAAGAUUGUAUUAGAUAUUU
rnacentral:lncRNA from 1 species